rnacentral:misc_RNA from 1 species
UGCAAGCGACAUCCCGGUGG